AAAUUAAUUUUUUUAACGUUGGUUCAGGUGUAACCGAUUACACCAUAUUUGGUAACUAAUUACCAUUGAACCAGUGGUAGAAAGAAAUGCAUUUUUUCAUGAAAACAUUUUCUGAAGUGUGUUCUUGAAUCAUGACAUCCAUUCAUGAGUUAUGACCAUUUAAAAAGGUGUCUAAGGGUUAUAUAUACCACAUAUUUUCAGAAUUUUAAUACACCUCUUUC
rnacentral:lncRNA from 1 species